rnacentral:rRNA from 1 species
CACGUAGGCACCAAGCGUUGUCCGGAUUUAUUGGGCGUAAAGAGCUCGUAGGCGGUUCAGUAAGUCGGGUGUGAAAACUUUGGGCUUAACCCAAAGCGUGCAUCCGAUACUGCUGUGACUUGAGUUCGGUAGGGGAGUGGGGAAUUCCUAGUGUAGCGGUGAAAUGCGCAGAUAUUAGGAGGAACACCGGUGGCGAAGGCGGGUUGCUGGGCCGACACUGACGCUGAGGCGCGAAAGCUAGGGGAGCGAACGGG